GACGAACGCUGGCGGCGCGCUUAACACAUGCAAGUCGAGCGAAGCGGCGGACGGGUGAGUAACACGUGAGUAACCUGCCUUAGACAUUGGGAUAGCCUCGGGAAACCGGGAUUAAUACCAAAUGGUAUAAGAUGGACUCGCGUCCCAUUAGCUAGUUGGUGCGGUAACGGCCCACCAAGGCGACGAUGGGUAGCCGGCCUGAGAAGGGGAACGGCCACAAUGGAAGUGUGAAACGGUCCGAACUCUACGUGAGGCAGCAGUGGGGAAUAAUGAACAAUGGAGGGAACACUGAUGCAGCGACGCCGCGUGAACGAAGAAGGCUUUCGAGUCGUAAAGUUCUUUGAUAUGAGAAGCGGUACCAUAAGAAAAAGCCCGGGCUAACUACGUGCCAGCAGCCGCGGUAAUUC
rnacentral:rRNA from 1 species